AACUCUGGUUUCUCUUCAAUCACGCACAAGUUUUUCGCCUUUUACUAAAGACUUCUUGGAGGGAAAACUGAAAGAGGCCGAAAAAG
rnacentral:snRNA from 1 species